UACGGAGGGUGCAAGCGUUAAUCGGAAUUACUGGGCAUAAGGCGCACGCAGGCGGUCUGUCAAGUCGGAUGUGAAAUCCCCGGGCUCAACCUGGGAACUGCAUCCGAAACUGGCAAGCUAGAGUCUUGGAGAGGGGAGUGGAAUUCCAGGUGUAGCGGUGAAAUGCGUAGAGAUCUGGAGGAACAUCAGUGGCGAAGGCGGCUCCCUGGCCAAAGACUGACGCUCAGGUGCGAAAGCGUGGGGAGCAAACAGG
rnacentral:misc_RNA from 1 species